CCAUGGCUGAUUUUUUGAUGCUGAAUCUGCCUAUGGCAAAAUCGGAGCCAAACCACCGGCUAAUCGGCCGAAAAAUACCGUCGAAGUCCAGCGGCACCGCCGCGGCUUCCCUCAGUUUUUGCCUCCGAUGAGGCCCUUUUCAGUUCCCGUUCGAUUCAAUUUUUACACCACUGUGAUCACCAUCCUUUUCUCUACAGGUUGACUAGAGUAAAACAUCAAACUGCGACUCACACUGGAG
rnacentral:lncRNA from 1 species